AGAGUUUGAUCCUGGCUCAGGAUGAACGCUAGCGGCAGGCUUAAUACAUGCAAGUCGAGGGGCAGCACGGGUAGCAAUACCUGGUGGCGACCGGCAAACGGGUGCGGAACACGUACGCAACCUUCCUUUAAGUGGGGAAUAGCCCAGGGAAACUUGGAUUAAUACCCCUUAAUAUUAUUGAGUGGCAUCACUUGAUAAUUAAAGCUCCGGCGCUUAAAGAUGGGCGUGCGCCUGAUUAGGUAGUUGGCGGGGUAACAGCCCACCAAGCCUACGAUCAGUAACUGGUGUGAGAGCACGACCAGUCACACGGGCACUGAGACACGGGCCCGACUCCUACGGGAGGCAGCAGUAAGGAAUAUUGGUCAAUGGACGCAAGUCUGAACCAGCCAUGCCGCGUGGAGGAUGACGGCCCUCUGGGUUGUAAACUCCUUUUAUCUGGGAAGAAAUGCAGAUUUUCUAAUCUGUUUGACGGUACCAGAGGAAUAAGCACCGGCUAACUCCGUGCCAGCAGCCGCGGUAAUACGGAGGGUGCAAGCGUUAUCCGGAUUCACUGGGUUUAAAGGGUGCGUAGGUGGAGUGGUAAGUCAGUGGUGAAAUCUCCAAGCUUAACUUGGAAACUGCCGUUGAUACUAUUAUUCUUGAAUAUCGUGGAGGUAAGCGGAAUAUGUCAUGUAGCGGUGAAAUGCUUAGAUAUGACAUAGAACACCGAUUGCGAAGGCAGCUUACUACACGAUCAUUGACACUGAGGCACGAAAGCGUGGGGAGCAAACAGGAUUAGAUACCCUAGUAGUCC
rnacentral:rRNA from 1 species